rnacentral:rRNA from 1 species
ACCCGCUGAACUUAAGCAUAUCAAUAAGCGGAGGAAAAGAAACCAACAGGGAUUGCCUUAGUAACGGCGAGUGAAGCGGCAAAAGCUCAAAUUUGAAAUCUGGCACCUUCGGUGUCCGAGUUGUAAUUUGAAGAAGGUAACUUUGGAGUCAGCUCUUGUCUAUGUUCCUUGGAACAGGACGUCACAGAGGGUGAGAAUCCCGUGCGAUGAGAUGUCUGAUUCUAUGUAAAGUGCUUUCGAAGAGUCGAGUUGUUUGGGAAUGCAGCUCUAAGUGGGUGGUAAAUUCCAUCUAAAGCUAAAUAUUGGCGAGAGACCGAUAGCGAACAAGUACAGUGAUGGAAAGAUGAAAAGAACUUUGAAAAGAGAGUGAAAAAGUACGUGAAAUUGUUGAAAGGGAAGGGUUUGAGAUCAGACUUGGUAUUUUGUAUGUCUUGCUUUCGGGUGGGGCCUCUACAGUUUACUGGGCCAGCAUCGGUUUGGACGGUAGGAUAAUGACAUUGGAAUGUGGCACCACUUCGGUGGUGUGUUAUAGACUUUGUUGAUACUGCCUGUCUAGACCGAGGACUGCGU